rnacentral:rRNA from 1 species
CCUACGGGUGACAGCAGUGAGGAAUAUUGGUCAAUGGACGAGAGUCUGAACCAGCCAAGUAGCGUGAAGGAUGACUGCCCUAUGGGUUGUAAACUUCUUUUAUAAAGGAAUAAAACGAGGCACGUGUGCCUUUUUGCAUGUACUUUAUGAAUAAGGAUCGGCUAACUCCGUGCCAGCAGCCGCGGUAAUACGGAGGAUCCGAGCGUUAUCCGGAUUUAUUGGGUUUAAAGGGAGCGUAGAUGGGUUGUUAAGUCAGUUGUGAAAGUUUGCGGCUCAACCGUAAAAGUGCAAUUGAUACUGGCAGUCGUGAGUACAGUUGAGGUAGGCGGAAUUCGUGGUGUAGCGGUGAAAUGCUUAGAUAUCACGAAGAACCCCGAUUGCGAAGGCAGCUUACUAAACUGUGACUGACAUUGAUGCUCGAAAGUGUGGGUAUCAAACAGGAUUAGAUACCCUUGUAGUC